UAACGCCCCAAAAAUGAAAACUCAAUAAAACAAGUGAGGAUAAAUAACUGUAAUGCCCCAAAAUCUAAUAGUUGAUAAAUAAGGCAUUUACUAGAAUUAUGUGUGAAAUAACUUAACUAGGAUUAGUUAACCUAGUUUGUUUUUCUAUGUUAGUUACAAGAAGGAAAUAAAUAAAUUAUCAAAACUACAAGGGUUGAACUUGUACAUUUUAAUUAAAGUUUGGUUAAGUAGUGGAAGAUCACAAACAUCAGACAUAAGUCUGAUGUUGGUGUCGAUGCAAGCCAAGGGCCAAGAAGGGUUUCUCAUGAUGAUGAAAUGUUGAAGAAUUGAAGCAAAAUCCAGCCUUAAUUCUCUUGCAUGUGUAGAGAUUCUACAUCAAAAAGCUAUAUGAAACAUGUGUAUAGGGAUCAUGUCGAGAUGGAUGGAAGCAUAAAGGGCUAAUGGGUCAUGAGGACAUGAGGAAACGAGAGCGAAUAUGGAUGCAUAAGGUUUAUGAAUGUCGGACUUUCGAAGUGUUGAUAUAGUAAUGAAAUGAUUGAGUGUUGGAAGGAUAAUCGGGUUGAAGUAACUUAAGCGGUUAGAAUAUGCUAUGGACGUUUUAGUUUAUACAAUAUUUUAUGUUUGGUCGUCACCACCUACUAACGGGUUAGUUGUAUGAGAAUAUAUGUCAUACCCAUUUAAUUGGGUAAUCGAAUGCGUAAGAGAAAUGAGAGUACGUACAUGAAUGGAAUUAAAAUGACGGUUUUAUAAGCGAACAAGUA